rnacentral:rRNA from 1 species
AGUCUGGUGCCAGCAGCCGCGGUAAUUCCAGCUCCAAUAGUGUAUAUUAAAGUUGCUGCAGUUAAAAAGCUCGUAGUUGGAUUUUGAAUUAUAAAAAUUUAACAUUCAUCUUUUAGAUGUGAUUUAAUUUUUAUAUUCUUCCUUUUGAUACGCUCCAUCAAAUUAUAUUUUUUGGAUUUAAGUGUUUCAAAUUGUUUACUGUGAAAAAAUUAGAGUGUUCAAAGCAGGCGUAACCUAGCCUUUGAAUAUAUUAGCAUGGGAUAAUGAAAUAGGACUUUAAUCCUACUUUCGUUGGUUUCUAGGGCUAAAGUAAUGAUUAAUAGGGAUAGUUGGGGUCACUAGUAUUUAAUUGUCAGAGGUGAAAUUCUAAGAUUUAUUAAAGACUAACUACUGCGAAAGCAUUUGACAAGGAUGUUUUCAUUAAUCAAGAACGAAAGUUGGGGGAUCGAAGAUGAUCAGAUACCGUCGUAGUCUCAACCAUAAACUAUGCCGACCAAGGAUCCGAGGUUGUUAAUAUGGAUGACUCUUCGGGCACUUAUAGAGAAAUCAUAAGUAUUUGGGCUCCGGGGGGAGUAUGGUCGCAAGGCUGAAACUUAAAGGAAUUGACGGAAGGGCACCACAAGGAGUGGAACCUGCGGUUUAAUUUGACCCAACACGGGAAAACUUACCAGGUCCAGACACAGUGAGGAUUGACAGAUUGAGAGUUCUUUCUUGAUUCUGUGAGUGGUGGUGCAUGGCCGUUUCUAGUUGGUGGAGUGAUUUGUCUGGUUAAUUCUGUUAACGAACGAGACCUUAACCUAUUAAAUAGUUAUUUAAACUUGAUUUUUAAAAUCAAAUGUUUAAAAAACUUCUUAGAGGGACUCUUCACUGAGAGAGUGAAUGGAAGUUUGAGGCAAAAACAGGUCUGUGAUGCCCUUAGAUGUUCUGGGCCACACGCGCGUUACACUGACAUAUUCAACGAGCAUUAUCCUUACCCGUCGGGGUUGGGUAAUCUUUUAAAUGUAUGUCGUGCUGGGGAUAGAUCAUUGUAAUUAUUGGUCUUGAACGAGGAAUUCCUAGUAAGUGCGAGUCAUCAACUCGCGCUGAUUACGUCCCUGCCCUUUGUACACACCGCCCGUCGCUCCUACCGAUUGAAUGGUCCGGCGAGAACUCAGGAUGGAUAUGGAUUUUGGACACUUAGGUGCUCCAACCAUAUCCAGAAUUUGUUCAAACCUUACCAUUUAGAGGAAGGAGAAGUCGUAACAAGGUUUCCGUAGGUGAACCUGCGGAAG